GGUUAAGCGACUAAGCGUACACGGUGGAUGCCCUGGCAGUCAGAGGCGAUGAAGGACGUGCUAAUCUGCGAUAAGCGUCGGUGAGGUGAUAUGAACCGUUAUAACCGGCGAUUUCCGAAUGGGGAAACCCAGUGUGUUUCGACACACUAUCAUUAACUGAAUCCAUAGGUUAAUGAGGCGAACCGGGGGGAACUGAAACAUCUAAGUACCCCGAGGAAAAGAAAUCAACCGAGAUUCCCCCAGUAGCGGCGAGCGAACGGGGAGGAGCCCAGAGCCUGAAUCAGUGUGUGUGUUAGUGGAAGCGUCUGGAAAGGCGUGCGAUACAGGGUGACAGCCCCGUACACAAAAAUGCACAUAUUGUGAGCUCGAUGAGUAGGGCGGGACACGUGGUAUCCUGUCUGAAUAUGGGGGACCAUCCUCCAAGGCUAAAUACUCCUGACUGACCGAUAGUGAACCAGUACCGUGAGGGAAAGGCGAAAAGAACCCCGGCGAGGGGAGUGAAAAAGAACCUGAAACCGUGUACGUACAAGCAGUGGGAGCCUCUUAAUGGGGUGACUGCGUACCUUUUGUAUAAUGGGUCAGCGACUUAUAUUCUGUAGCAAGGUUAACCGAAUAGGGGAGCCGAAGGGAAACCGAGUCUUAACUGGGCGUUAAGUUGCAGGGUAUAGACCCGAAACCCGGUGAUCUAGCCAUGGGCAGGUUGAAGGUUGGGUAACACUAACUGGAGGACCGAACCGACUAAUGUUGAAAAAUUAGCGGAUGACUUGUGGCUGGGGGUGAAAGGCCAAUCAAACCGGGAGAUAGCUGGUUCUCCCCGAAAGCUAUUUAGGUAGCGCCUCGUGAAUUCAUCUCCGGGGUAGAGCACUGUUUCGGCAAGGGGUCAUCCCGACUUACCAACCCGAUGCAAACUGCGAAUACCGGAGAAUGUUAUCACGGGAGACACACGGCGGGUGCUAACGUCCGUCGUGAAGAGGGAAACAACCCAGACCGCCAGCUAAGGUCCCAAAGUCAUGGUUAAGUGGGAAACGAUGUGGGAAGGCCCAGACAGCCAGGAUGUUGGCUUAGAAGCAGCCAUCAUUUAAAGAAAGCGUAAUAGCUCACUGGUCGAGUCGGCCUGCGCGGAAGAUGUAACGGGGCUAAACCAUGCACCGAAGCUGCGGCAGCGACACUAUGUGUUGUUGGGUAGGGGAGCGUUCUGUAAGCCUGUGAAGGUGGCCUGUGAGGGUUGCUGGAGGUAUCAGAAGUGCGAAUGCUGACAUAAGUAACGAUAAAGCGGGUGAAAAGCCCGCUCGCCGGAAGACCAAGGGUUCCUGUCCAACGUUAAUCGGGGCAGGGUGAGUCGACCCCUAAGGCGAGGCCGAAAGGCGUAGUCGAUGGGAAACAGGUUAAUAUUCCUGUACUUGGUGUUACUGCGAAGGGGGACGGAGAAGGCUAUGUUGGCCGGGCGACGGUUGUCCCGGUUUAAGCGUGUAGGCUGGUUUUCCAGGCAAAUCCGGAAAACCAAGGCUGAGGCGUGAUGACGAGGCACUACGGUGCUGAAGCGACAAAUGCCCUGCUUCCAGGAAAAGCCUCUAAGCAUCAGGUAACAUCAAAUCGUACCCAAAACCGACACAGGUGGUCAGGUAGAGAAUACCAAGGCGCUUGAGAGAACUCGGGUGAAGGAACUAGGCAAAAUGGUGCCGUAACUUCGGGAGAAGGCACGCUGAUAUGUAGGUGAAGCGACUUGCUCGUGGAGCUGAAAUCAGUCGAAGAUACCAGCUGGCUGCAACUGUUUAUUAAAAACACAGCACUGUGCAAACACGAAAGUGGACGUAUACGGUGUGACGCCUGCCCGGUGCCGGAAGGUUAAUUGAUGGGGUUAGCGGUAACGCGAAGCUCUUGAUCGAAGCCCCGGUAAACGGCGGCCGUAACUAUAACGGUCCUAAGGUAGCGAAAUUCCUUGUCGGGUAAGUUCCGACCUGCACGAAUGGCGUAAUGAUGGCCAGGCUGUCUCCACCCGAGACUCAGUGAAAUUGAACUCGCUGUGAAGAUGCAGUGUACCCGCGGCAAGACGGAAAGACCCCGUGAACCUUUACUAUAGCUUGACACUGAACAUUGAGCCUUGAUGUGUAGGAUAGGUGGGAGGCUUUGAAGUGUGGACGCCAGUCUGCAUGGAGCCGACCUUGAAAUACCACCCUUUAAUGUUUGAUGUUCUAACGUUGGCCCGUAAUCCGGGUUGCGGACAGUGUCUGGUGGGUAGUUUGACUGGGGCGGUCUCCUCCUAAAGAGUAACGGAGGAGCACGAAGGUUGGCUAAUCCUGGUCGGACAUCAGGAGGUUAGUGCAAUGGCAUAAGCCAGCUUGACUGCGAGCGUGACGGCGCGAGCAGGUGCGAAAGCAGGUCAUAGUGAUCCGGUGGUUCUGAAUGGAAGGGCCAUCGCUCAACGGAUAAAAGGUACUCCGGGGAUAACAGGCUGAUACCGCCCAAGAGUUCAUAUCGACGGCGGUGUUUGGCACCUCGAUGUCGGCUCAUCACAUCCUGGGGCUGAAGUAGGUCCCAAGGGUAUGGCUGUUCGCCAUUUAAAGUGGUACGCGAGCUGGGUUUAGAACGUCGUGAGACAGUUCGGUCCCUAUCUGCCGUGGGCGCUGGAGAACUGAGGGGGCUGCUCCUAGUACGAGAGGACCGGAGUGGACGCAUCACUGGUGUUCGGGGUUGUCAUGCCAAUGGCACUGCCCGGUAGCUAAAUGCGGAAGAGAUAAGUGCUGAAAGCAUCUAAGCACGAAACUUGCCCCGAGAUGAGUUCUCCCUGACUCCUUGAGGGUCCUGAAGGAACGUUGAAGACGACGACGUUGAUAGGCCGGGUGUGUAAGCGCAGCGAUGCGUUGAGCUAACCGGUACUAAUGAACCGUGAGGCUUAACCUU
rnacentral:rRNA from 1 species